rnacentral:rRNA from 1 species
AGAACGAACGCUGGCGGCAGGCUUAACACAUGCAAGUCGAGCGCCUCGCAAGAGGAGCGGCAGACGGGUGAGUAACGCGUGGGAAUUUACCCUAUGGUACGAAAUAACACAGAGAAAUUUGUGCUAAUACCGUAUGUGUCCUUCGGGAGAAAGAUUUAUCGCCAUAGGAUGAGCCCGCGUCUGAUUAGCUAGUUGGUAAGGUAAUGGCUUACCAAGGCGACGACCAGUAGCUGGUCUGAGAGGAUGAUCAGCCACACUGGGACUGAGACACGGCCCAGACUCCUACGGGAGGCAGCAGUGGGGAAUAUUGGACAAUGGGCGCAAGCCUGAUCCAGCCAUGCCGCGUGAGUGAUGACGGCCUUAGGGUUGUAAAGCUCUUUCGCUAGGGACGAUAAUGACGGUACCUAGACAAGAAGCCCCGGCUAACUUCGUGCCAGCAGCCGC